rnacentral:rRNA from 1 species
GACGAACGCUGGCGGCGUGCUUAACACAUGCAAGUCGAACGGAAAGGCCCUGCUUUUGUGGGGUGCUCGAGUGGCGAACGGGUGAGUAACCCGUGGGUAACCUGCCCUUGCUUUUGGGAUAACUUCAGGAAACUGGGGCUAAUACCGGAUAGGAGUUCCUGCUGCAGGGUGGGGGUUGGAAGGUUUCGGCGGUUGGGGAUGGACUCGCGGCUUAUCAGCUUGUUGGUGGGGUAGUGGCUUACCAAGGCUUUGACGGGUAGCCGGCCUGAGAGGGUGACCGGCCACAUUGGGACUGAGAUACGGCCCAGACUCCUACGGGAGGCAGCAGUGGGGAAUAUUGCACAAUGGGCGGAAGCCUGAUGCAGCAACGCCGCGUGCGGGAUGACGGCCUUCGGGUUGUAAACCGCUUUCGCCUGUGACGAAGCGUGAGUGACGGUAAUGGGUAAAGAAGCACCGGCUAACUACGUG